rnacentral:rRNA from 2 species
AUGAACGCCGGCGGUGUGCCUAAUACAUGCAAGUCGAGCGCAGUGCUUGCACUGAGCGGCGGACGGGUGAGUAACACGUGGGCAACCUACCCUGAAGUGGGGGAUAACAUCUGGAAACAGGUGCUAAUACCGCAUAACAACGAAACCACAUGGUUUUCGUUCAAAGAUGUUCGUAUCACUUUAGGAUGGGCCCGCGGUGCAUUAGCUAGUUGGUAAGGUAACGGCUUACCAAGGCAAUGAUGCAUAGCCGAGUUGAGAGACUGAUCGGCCACAUUGGGACUGAGACACGGCCCAAACUCCUACGGGAGGCAGCAGUAGGGAAUCUUCCACAAUGGACGCAAGUCUGAUGGAGCAACGCCGCGUGAGUGAAGAAGGGUUUCGGCUCGUAAAGCUCUGUUGGUAGUGAAGAAAGAUAGAGGUGUAAGCCUUUAUUUGACGGUAAUUACUUAGAAAGUCACGGCUAACUACGUGCCAGCAGCCGCGGUAAUACGUAGGUGGCAAGCGUUGUCCGGAUUUAUUGGGCGUAAAGCGAGUGCAGGCGGUUCAAUAAGUCUGAUGUGAAAGCCUUCGGCUCAACCGGAGAAUUGCAUCAGAAACUGUUGAACUUGAGUGCAGAAGAGGAGAGUGGAACUCCAUGUGUAGCGGUGGAAUGCGUAGAUAUAUGGAAGAACACCAGUGGCGAAGGCGGCCCCUGGACAAAGACUGACGCUGAGGCUCGAAAGCAUGGGUAGCGAACAGGAUUAGAUACCCUGGUAGUCCAUGCCGUAAACGAUGAGUGCUAAGUGUUGGGAGGUUUCCCCUCUCAGUGCUGCAGCUAACGCAUUAAGCACUCCGCCUGGGGAGUACGACCGCAAGGUUGAAACUCAAAGGAAUUGACGGGGGCCCGCACAAGCGGUGGAGCAUGUGGUUUAAUUCGAAGCAACGCGAAGAACCUUACCAGGUCUUGACAUCCAGUGCAAACCUAAGAGAUUAGGUGUUCCCUUCGGGGACGCUGAGACAGGUGGUGCAUGGCUGUCGUCAGCUCGUGUCGUGAGAUGUUGGGUUAAGUCCCGCAACGAGCGCAACCCUUGUCAUUAGUUGCCAUCAUUAAGUUGGGCACUCUAAUGAGACUGCCGGUGACAAACCGGAGGAAGGUGGGGAUGACGUCAAGUCAUCAUGCCCCUUAUGACCUGGGCUACACACGUGCUACAAUGGACGGUACAACGAGAAGCGAACCUGCGAAGGCAAGCGGAUCUCUGAAAGCCGUUCUCAGUUCGGACUGUAGGCUGCAACUCGCCUACACGAAGCUGGAAUCGCUAGUAAUCGCGGAUCAGCACGCCGCGGUGAAUACGUUCCCGGGCCUUGCACACACCGCCCGUCA